rnacentral:rRNA from 1 species
CUUGAAAUCAUUAGAGGUCCAGCCUGCCCAGUGACUCUUGUUCAACGGCCGCGGUAUCCUAACCGUGCGAAGGUAGCGUAAUCACUUGUCUUCUAAAUAGAGACUAGUAUGAAAGGCAUCACGAGGGCUUAACUGUCUCCUUUGUCUAAUCAGUGAACCUAAUCUCCUCGUGAAAAAGCGGGGAUUCUCCUAUAAGACGAGAAGACCCUAUGGAGCUUAAAACAUCCAACACGUGCUUAUUUAAUAUCACUUACCCUCCCCGCACGAUGAUUUUAUGUUUUUGGUUGGGGUGACCGCGGAGAAAACCUCAUCCUCCGUAAUGAAAGGAGCUAAUCCUUAACAACAAGCUACAACUUUAUGUAUUAAUAUAUUAACACUAUCGACCCAAUAAAUUGAUUAAUGAAC